rnacentral:rRNA from 1 species
GACGAACGCUGGCGGCGUGCCUAAUACAUGCAAGUCGAGCGAAGUUUUUCUGGUGCUUGCACCGGAAAAACUUAGCGGCGAACGGGUGAGUAACACGUAAAGAACCUGCCUCAUAGACUGGGACAACUAUUGGAAACGAUAGCUAAUACCGGAUAACAGCAUUAACUGCAUGGUUGAUGUUUAAAAGUUGGUUUUGCUAACACUAUGAGAUGGCUUUGCGGUGCAUUAGCUAGUUGGUGGGGUAAAGGCCUACCAAGGCGACGAUGCAUAGCCGACCUGAGAGGGUGAUCGGCCACACUGGGACUGAGCCACGGCCCAGACUCCUACGGGAGGCAGCAGUAGGGAAUCUUCCGCAAUGGGCGAAAGCCUGACGGAGCAACGCCGCGUGAGUGAAGAAGGAUUUCGGUUCGUAAAGCUCUGUUGUUAGGGAAGAAUGAUUGUGUAGUAACUAUACACAGUAGAGACGGUACCUAACCAGAAAGCCACGGCUAACUACGUG